GUUAAAAAGCUCGUAGUUGGAUUUCUGGGAGGGUGCCAAUGUCCGCCAACGUGCGUGUGCAGCGGCGCCCUUCCAUCCUUCUGUUAACGCCUCUUGGCAUUCAUUUGCUGGUAGCGGGCUCAGAUAUUUUACCUUGAGAAAAUUAGAGUGUUUCAGGCAGGCUUGGCCGGAAUACAUUAGCAUGGAAUAAUGGAAUAGGACUAUGGUCUCUUUGUUGGUUUGAGGGACUGCAGUAAUGAUUAAUAGGGAUAGUUGGGGGCAUUAGUAUUUAAUUGUCAGAGGUGGAAUUCUCAGAUUUGUUAAAGACUAACUUAUGCGAAAGCAUUUGCCAAGGAUGUUUUCAUUAAUCAAGAACGAAAGUUAGGGGAUCGAAGACGAUCAGAUACCGUCCUAGUCUUAACCAUAAACUAUGCCGACUCGGGAUCGGGGGCGAGCACUAUCCGCCUUCGGCACCGUAUGAGAAAUCAAAGUAUUUGGGUUCUGGGGGGAGUAUGGUCGCAAGGCUGAAACUUAAAGGAAUUGACGGAAGGGCACCACCA
rnacentral:rRNA from 1 species